rnacentral:rRNA from 1 species
AGGCCCAGCUUGCUGGGUACUCGAGUGGCGAACGGGUGAGUAACACGUGGGUGAUCUGCCCCUGACUUUGGGAUAAGCCUGGGAAACUGGGUCUAAUACCGGAUAUUCAUUUUUCCUCGCAUGGGGAUUUGUGGAAAGCUUUUGCGGUUGGGGAUGGGCCCGCGGCCUAUCAGCUUGUUGGUGGGGUAAUGGCCUACCAAGGCGACGACGGGUAGCCGACCUGAGAGGGUGAUCGGCCACACUGGGACUGAGACACGGCCCAGACUCCUACGGGAGGCAGCAGUGGGGAAUAUUGCACAAUGGGCGCAAGCCUGAUGCAGCGACGCCGCGUGAGGGAUGACGGCCUUCGGGUUGUAAACCUCUUUCAGCUCCGACGAAGCGCAAGUGACGGUAGGAGCAGAAGAAGCACCGGCCAACUACGUGCCAGCAGCCGCGGUAAUACGUAGGGUGCAAGCGUUGUCCGGAAUUACUGGGCGUAAAGAGCUCGUAGGCGGUUUGUCGCGUCGUCUGUGAAAUUCUGCAGCUUAACUGCAGGCGUGCAGGCGAUACGGGCAGACUUGAGUACUACAGGGGAGACUGGAAUUCCUGGUGUAGCGGUGAAAUGCGCAGAUAUCAGGAGGAACACCGGUGGCGAAGGCGGGUCUCUGGGUAGUAACUGACGCUGAGGAGCGAAAGCGUGGGUAGCGAACAGGAUUAGAUACCCUGGUAGUCCACGCCGUAAACGGUGGGUACUAGGUGUG